CCCGGGAGGAAACCGGGAGAGGGCAAUGAAAUCGGGAGUCUCCCGCGAAAAUCGGCAGGGUUGGCAAGUAUGGUGGCCACAGCGCUGAUGGGACGCCUCAACACUGGAGAUCAUGUAGCACUCGUCUACCCCCCAGGAAUCAACCUGAUUGCCACUUUCUACGGCUGCCUGUACGCCGGCUGUGUGCCAGUCACUGUCAGACCCCCCCCACCCCCAGAACCUCGCGACCACCCUGCCCACCGUCAAGAUGAUUGUUGAGGUCAGUAAGUCGGUGUGUAUCCUAACCAGUCAAGCAAUUAUGAAGCUGCUGAAAUCCAAAGAGGCUGCGGCUGCCGUGGACAUCAAGA